AUUGAACGCUGGCGGCAGGCCUAACACAUGCAAGUCGAACGAGUGGCGGACGGGUGAGUAAUGUCUGGGAAACUGCCUGAUGGAGGGGGAUAACUACUGGAAACGGUAGCUAAUACCGCAUACCAUCGGAUGUUCCCCGAUGGGUUUAGCUAGUUGGUGGGGUAAAGGCCCACCUAGGCGACGAGCCCUAGCUGGUCUGAGAGGUUGACCAGCCAGACUGGAACGGAGACACGGCCCAGACUCAUACGGGAGGCAGCAGUGGGGAAUAUUGCACAAGGGGCGCAAGCCUGAUGCAGCCAUGCCGCGUGUAUGAAGAAGGCCUUCGGGUUGUAAAGUACUUUCAGCGGGGAGGCGUUACCCGCAGAAGAAGCACCGGCUAACUCCGUGCCAGCCGCCGCGGUAAUUC
rnacentral:rRNA from 1 species